AUUGAACGCUGGCGGCAGGCCUAACACAUGCAAGUCGAGCGAGCGGCGGAGGGGUGAGUAAUGUAUGGGGACUGCCAGAUAGAGGGGGAUAAAUACUGGAAACGGGGGCUAAUACCGCAUACUAUCGGAUAACCCAUAUGGGAUUAGAUAGUAGGUGGGGUAAAGGCUCACCUAGGCGACGAUCUCUAGCUGGUCUGAGAGGAUGAUCAGCCACACUCGGACUGAGACACAGCCCAGACUUCAACGGACGCAGCAGUGGGGCAUAUUGCACAAUGGUCGCAAGCCUGAUGCAGCAACGCCGCGUGGGAGGUGAAGGCCUUCGGGUUGUAAACUCCUUUCGACAGGGACGCGGUACCUGUAUAAGAUGCACCGGCUAACUACGUGCCAGCGGCCGCGGUAAUAC
rnacentral:rRNA from 1 species